UGGUGAAGGAAAUUAAACCUUGUGUUGGAG
rnacentral:piRNA from 1 species